rnacentral:rRNA from 1 species
CCUACGAGCGGCAGCAGUGAGGAAUCUUGGUCAAUGGACGAGAGUCUGAACCAGCCAAGUAGCGUGAAGGAUUACUGCCCUAUGGGUUGUAAACUUCUUUUAUAUGGGAAUAAAACGUUCCACGUGUGGGAUUUUGUAUGUACCAUAUGAAUAAGGAGAGGCUAACUCCGUGCCAGCAGCCGCGGUAAUACGGAGGAUCCGAGCGUUAUCCGGAUUUAUUGGGUUGAAAGGGAGCGUAGGUGGAUUGUUAAGUCAGUUGUGAAAGUUUGCGGCUCAACCGUAAAAUUUCAGUUGAAACUGGCAGUCUUGAGUACAGUAGAGGUGGGCGGAAUUCGUGGUGUAGCGGUGAAAUGCUUAGAUAUCACGAAGAACUCCGAUUGCGAAGGCAGUUCACUGGACUGCAACUGACACUGAGGCUCGAAAGUGUGGGUAUCAAACAGGAUUAGAUACCCCUGUAGUC